GCAGGGACACGCAAAGGUGACAACCUUAGAGACUGCCAAAGCUCACUCUGGACACCAUCAGAGGCCAUCGCAGACUGUCCUUCACAGGAUGUGUGUGUGACAUGCUGCCAUGAUCACUCUGUAACAGUGUCACGGGGUGGAUGGGGGAGGCCUGGCUCAGCAGCAGCUCAGGGUACUGAGUCGUAGAUGACAGCAAGCUCAAUGUGCACUGUUGUGUGAUGUCACAGUGCAGCCACCAGGUUGGGAGACCUGCUUAUAUACAGUGUCCAGGGAGCACAAGGCCUGGGGGCCCACAAACCUGGGUCUGUAUGCCCACUCUUCAUUAGCAGCUCCAGGACCAAGUGCGGUCAGUUUUCUGGAACUUGUUUCCAUAUCUCCACUGUGAUGUAAGGAUGUGCAUGGAUCCUAAAUGUGAGAAGCUGGCAAUCACCAGGUCCCUGGCAGGUGCUCAGAGUCUGAGCUACCAUCAAAAUCAAGGGCACAGGGGGAGGCUAACUGCUUCUCUGAAUACCCUAAGGGAGGCAGAUCUAGGCCAGGUGACCAGGGUUUACAAGUCCCAGGACAGCAGGUUGGGCUUGGUACACGGAAGAACUGAUGAGCAGCUUCAGUCAUGCAGCAGGACAGAUCAGGACAAAGCCAUGCUGGAGUGGGGGCCACACACCUGCUGAAAACCCCCAACACUCUUUUUCCCAGCAGCAGCUUCCAAGCAACUCCUGAGGCCCUCCCACCGCUUAACCAGAAAAGAACCCACCAUUGGUCUCCUUAGUAACGACUUCCAAGGCCCCUUGCACAUCUGAAAAGCGCACAGUGUGAUUUCCAGACCCAAGUUAGACAGCGAUUUCUUCACAAAGUGCAACGCCCUCAAUUAAUGAACCCUCUGGGAAUGAAGUACCUUCUAACAAAAACAUUGUUCAAAAUAAAGCUGGAAAAAAACCCCACACAGCCCCUAGGACAGAGAUGUGAGUGUUGUUGCCCAGUCACAACCAUGACAAGGCGGUGUGGUUACACGGUAGGGUCAGAGGUGGGCAGUCUCCAGCCAUUCCCAGCAGGGGACCUUGGCCAGUUACUUGACCUUCAACUUGGUUUCCUUGUCUGCAAGAUGAGGAUGAUGACAGGCAACUCCCACGGCAGGAGUGCAGACUGCAGAACAGUCACUCAUGCAGUAACUACCUGCUGAGCACCCCUGUGCAUCAGGCGGCCUUGUUCCUGCGGCGGGGAUACAGCAAGGAACACAGCCCUGCCCCGUGGAGCUCAUAUUCUGUGGGGUAGCGGGUGGAGGUGAAUACUACAGAGAAGAAUCAAGCAGAAAACAUAUUAAAGACUGCCGAACUCACACAGGAUUUUCUGAAGCGGGCAGAAGAGAUGGCAGAUGAAACCAGGAUCAGAAUCUAGAAGAUGACUGCCUAACCAGCUUCUGCUCACACUACUUCCCAGGGACUUCCCAGUGGUAACCCCAACUUUUGUCUGGAGAUCCGCCCCUCCCCAACUCUGAUCUUGUGGUCAGGUGGAGAUGACCAGCUCCAGGGCCAGCCCAUCAUUUUCCUGGCCAUGGAGUCUAGUUCCAGAUGGAAACAGAAUCCCAUCAAAGCCAUUAUGAUGGUGUGAGACUUUUGAGGCAGAAGUUAACGUCAUUUCUGGGGGACUUGGAGUUAGGUCAUUCACACAUGGUGGAGACAGGAAUCUAGAGACCAGGGAUCAGCCCCAAGGCUAUGAUCUUUGUGCUGUGCCGCUCUACCCCUGAGCAGACAGGCCAGAGGUCCAGAGAGGGCUGUGCUGGCAGAGUUCAUACUUUGAUAACUGAACCCAGGGUAAGCCUGCCCUAGAAAUGCCAGCUCAAGGGACCGACAGGCAUAAUGCUCUUUGGGAGAGAAAUGCCACAUCUGCAGCGACACACAUCCUAACACUGUCCAAGGACUGGGGAACCAGCGGAGGAGCAGCUGAUAAAUGUCAAGGCACACAGUAAUCCUGGGUAAUCCAUUCAGAGCUGGCAGUAAUCUAAACUUUCUGUACAGCAGUGACUCUGAGCUAUCAGUCGCAAUGCAAGAGGGAGCCUUGAGGGUCCUCCAGGAUGUUUGCCAAGGGCACAGGCCCAAAGCCAGAAAAGGUACCCAACAGGGAUACCAUCAGGAAGAUGUUGGAAACAAAAGAUAAAGCACUCUACCUGGGGGAAGUACCCCAGCUGCAGGGGCCUCCUGGAGACAUGCUCACCUGAGCUGGCUCAUGUGCUGCUGAGGCUGGAUGGAA